UGCUGCAACAAGUGGUACUAGAUCUUUAAUAGAAGCAAUUUUUGUUAGGAGUGAUGCGGUAGGAAUUGACGGAAUCAAUAACUGGAUCAUCAUUCUCAACACCGACAUUGUUAGUUACUACAUAGACAUCUACAUCGUCCAAGUCACAAAAAACUAUUUCAUCCUCCUUUUUCUUGUAAUCUUGGCUAUCCUCCAAAUAUUUUUCCCAUCAAGUCUUUAAU
rnacentral:lncRNA from 1 species